AAACUGAAGAGUUUGAUCCUGGCUCAGAUUGAACGCUGGCGGCAUGCCUAACACAUGCAAGUCGAACGGAGGGCUUCGGCCUUCAGUGGCGGAAGGGUGAGUAAUGCGUAGGGAUCUGCACCGCAGUGGG
rnacentral:rRNA from 1 species